AAUCAACGCUGGCGGCGUGCCUAACACAUGCAAGUCGAACGAGAAAGUGGUAGCAAUACCAUGAGUAAAGUGGCGCACGGGUGAGUAACACGUGACUAACCUACCCUGGAGUGGGGGAUAACUGAGGGAAACCUUAGCUAAUACCGCAUAACACCUACGGGUCAAAGGAGUAAUUCGCUUUGGGAGGGGGUCGCGGCCGAUUAGCUAGUUGGCGGGGUAAUGGCCCACCAAGGCAGUGAUCGGUAUCCGGCCUGAGAGGGCGCACGGACACAUUGGAACUGAAACACGGUCCAAACUCCUACGGGAGGCAGCAGUGGGGAAUUUUGCGCAAUGGGGGAAACCCUGACGCAGCAACGCCGCGUGGAGGAUGAAGUCCUUCGGGACGUAAACUCCUUUCGAUCGGGACGAUAAUGACGGUACCGGAAGAAGAAGCCCCGGCUAACUUCGUGCCAGCAGCCGCGGUAAUACGAGGGGGGCGAGCGUUGUUCGGAAUUAUUGGGCGUAAAGGGUGCGUAGGCGGUUUGGUAAGUCUUGUGUGAAAUCUUCAGGCUCAACUUGAAGACUGCACAGGAAACUGCCGGGCUUGAGUAUGGGAGAGGUGAGUGGAAUUCCUGGUGUAGCGGUGAAAUGCGUAGAUAUCAGGAGGAACACCUGUGGCGAAAGCGGCUCACUGGACCAUAACUGACGCUGAUGCACGAAAGCUAGGGGAGCAAACAGGAUUAGAUACCCUGGUAGUCCUAGCCCUAAACGAUGACUGCUUGGUGUGGCGGGUACCCAAUCCCGCCGUGCCGUAGCUAACGCGUUAAGCAGUCCGCCUGGGGAGUACGGUCGCAAGGCUG
rnacentral:rRNA from 1 species